ensembl:lncRNA
GCCAGCCUGGUCUACUGAGCAAGUUCCAGGACAGGCUCCAAAGCUACAGAGAAACCCCAUCUCUAAAAACCAAAAAGAAAAAAAAAAAAAAAAAAAAAAAGGAAACGGUCCUACAGAUAUACCCAUAGGCCAGUCCAAUGGUAGCAAUUCCUCAAUUGACGGUCACUCUCCCCAAGAACGUCAAAUUGACAAUGGACGUUAACUCUAACAGUGUGAUUAUCAUUUUCUGAUUAUAAAAUAUGUUUAGUUUGAUUCCAGCUUUCCAUUACUGUGUUCGUGUCAGCUGUCCAUUAUUGUGACAGAGUGUUUGAGAAAAUCAGUUUAAAGGAGGAAGGCCUUAUUUCAGUUUAAGGUCACAGAAGGGUCAGUCCAUGCCACUGGGCUCAUUGUUCCUGGGGCUGUGGUGAGUCAGGUGAGGAGCAGAGGACAGAGAAAGUCACAGCACCUGGAAGCAGAAGGAAUGAAGAAGGAAGAGCCUGGAACAAAAACGUAUCCUCCAGGGACACACUCCCAAUGACUCAGUCUCUCCAAGUAGGCCUCAUCUCCUGGACUAUCUACUACCACCCAAUAGCCAUUAACUGACAGAUCCUUCAUCAGUGGGUUAUUAGCACAUUGAAGAGGAGAGCUCUCCUGGCCUAGUCACAUCCCCACCUCUAAACACUGCUGUGUUGUGGACCAUGUCUUCAAUACCUGAGCUUUUAGGGGGUUUCUCUGUGUAACAGCCAUAGCUAUCCUGGAGCUAGCUCUGUAGAGAAGGCUGACCUGAAACUCACAGAGAUCCAUCUGCCUCUGCCUCCCGGAUUCUGGGGUUCAAGGUGUGCACCACCACUGCCUGACUGACACUUGAACUUUUAAGUGACUCAACUAAUUAAUAAGGCUAAGGAUUGACCUUAUUACGGGUGACUCAUCUGUCUGGCUGGAGCUGAAAUUCUUUUGCCAAAUGCUCAUCACCUUAGAGAGAACAGCCAAGGAGCAAGAUGUAAGCAGGUUGAUAGACAGAAUUAGAUAUCAAAUCUCUCAGAAUCAGAAAUAGUCAUUAGAAGAGGGACCUUGGAAGUAGUUCAGUUGAUGGAAUACUUGCCUAACAUGCAUGAAGCCUUGGGUUCAGUUCUCAGUAUCAUAUAAAUCAUACAUCAUAGAUCAUGCUUGUAAUCCCAGUAAUUUAUAGCUAUAGGUAGGAGGAUGUUUAAGGUCACCCUUGGCCUAGCCAAGGGAUAUAUGAGACUUAUCUCAAACACACAUACACACACACACACACACACACACACACACACACACACACACACACUGUAAUUUAAAAAUGAAAUAUAUAUUUAUGAGAAAAAUAAUUUAUUGAUGAAUACUCGUUUUUCACCUUUGAAAAUAAUUUUCAGAAUAGUUUUAAUCCACUAAUUAUGAUGGCCAUUGGGAUAACAGCAUUAAAAUACUUUUUAAUAAAUUUUAUUUAAAUUAGAAACAAUCUUAUUUUACAUAUCAAUCCUAGUUCCCUCUCCCUCCCAUCUUCCCAUGUCCCCCACUGAACCCCCAUCCACUUCCCAGGGAGGGUAAGGCCUUCCACAAGGGAUCAUCAAAAUCUGUCAUUUGGGGCAGGGCCCUCCCCUGUGUAUCUAGGCUAAGAGAGUAUCCCUCUAUGGGAAAUGGGCUCCCGAAAAAUCUGAUCAUGCACUAGGGAUACAUACUGGCUUGACUGCCCCACGGACUGUCCAGUGCUCCUAACUGACACCCACAUUCAGGAGAUCUGGUUUGGUCCUAUGUUGGUUCCCUAGCUGUAAAACUGAGGUCCAUGAGAUCCUACUUGCUAAGGUCAGCUGUUUCUGUGGAUUUUCCCAACGUGGUCUUGACCCCUUUGUUCAUCACUCCUCCCUCUCUGAAACUGGAUUCCAAGAGUUUGGCUCAGUGCUUAGCUGCGGAUGUCUGCUUCUGCUUCCAUCAGCUACCGGAUGAAGCUCUAGGAUGACAUUUAAGGAAGUCAUCAUUCUCAUUAUUGGGGAAGGGCAUUUAAGGGAGCCUCUCCACUAUUGCUUAGAUUCCUAGUUGGGGUCAUCCUUGUGGAUUGCUAUACAAUUCCCUAGAGCUAGAUUUCUCUUUAAACCUAUAGUGGCUCACUCUAUUGAUGUGUCUCUUUUCUCAUCAUUAAGAUAUUUGGCAAGCAUGAAUAUCAGGUAUUGUAAAUAUACUACAUAUAACUGCUUUGUGAAGAUCAAAAGCAUAUAAAUUAAAGAUAGAUGCAGUCUGUCCAUCUUGUACAUGAUUAUUCAAAAUGUAAGGGACUUGAAAUAAUGAGCACAAUGUAAAAUCACUAAAAAGCAAUUGGGUUAAUGGAGCUUCUAAGUGAAAAAGUCUAUUCUGUGUUUCCCAAGAGAAACCAGAGGGAUCCCAGGCUACUGGAAUCUUAGAAUGUGCUAAUGUAGCUAUUAACAGCCUAAAGAAGGAGAUACUGUAAAAUUAUUAUCUCGAAUAGCCUACACUUAGCAAUGGUGUUUUCAUCAAGCUAGAUUUUAAAUUCCAUUAUGGUAAAUAUUUAAUUAUAAGAAAAAAGGCUACACAUGCAUUAGUGUACUCCAGAUAACGCCUAAGUGACACAUAAAUUUCAAAGAAAGGCAACCAUCUUACUCAUUAACACACACUCUCCAAGAAUCCUGUGAUGAAAAAAAUCAAGUAAUUUUCAAAUACGAGUUAAUAGAACCACAUAUAAGCAGGCAACUGUGUGCGAUGAUGUGUUGGUAUUCUUGACCAAGUUAUUUCAUCAUAUAUAUGAUGAAAUAUAUAGAACCAGAACACUGUGUUUGAUAUCUUUAUACACAGGUGACAUGUCCCUUAUAUAUGAUAUUUCAACGAAUGACUAGGCUAUGAUGUUAGGGAGAAUUGUGGAUUCAGAAAGCAAGUAUGGCAAAAGUAUAGGUCUGUGGUGUCUGUUUGAAAUAUUCCUGCCAGAAACACCUUUUAAUUUCAUAUGGUCCUUAAUUUAUUCAGAAAGCAAUAUGGUGAGCUGGGUGUGGUGGAAGACAGUGAUUCUAACACACAGAAGGAGAUCUUGAGUUUGGGGUCAGGUUGGGCCUUGGAUGAUCUUCACAUUGUCUCAAAAAGAAGGGGUGGUGGUGGUGUAUCAUUUUCCUAAUGAGGGUAGCCUAAAUAUCCUCGUGGAUUGCUGGAGUUCCUUACAAAGUCUGUGAAGUUAGAGUAGCUACUAACACAUUGCAAGAUUGUUGAGUAAAUGUCAUCUGUAAUCCUCAGACAAUGAAUAGGUAAAUGCUCCCAAACCACGAAAACAAGGAUUAUAAUAAAAAUAGUUAAGAAUUAUAUAGGAAAUAAUCAGUGAAAUUAAAUGCUCCUAUAGAGCUUGGCGCAAAGUAAGAUCUUGGCCGAAUGCCAAUUUCCUUCAUCUCUUUUUCUUUUUGUUAUAUUUCAUUUCUUGUAUUAGCACACACACGCACACAUGUAUGAGUGUUCUGCAUGUACAUGCCUGUGUACCACGUGCAUGCAGUGCCUCAAGGCAUCAGAUCCCCUGUAACUGGAGUUACAGACAGCUGUGUGCUCUCCCUCAUUAGGGUCCUGAGACUUGAACCUGGGUCCUCUGGAAAAGCAGCUGAUGCUGAACCAUCUCUCUAGACACAAAUGUGCUAUAUGUUUUAUUUGUGUAAGGAAGUAAAUUUCCGCAAGCAUUGAGUACAUAUGAUGAUCAUCCAGACCUCCCACGCUUCUGGUGACCCAGUAGAAGGGAUCCCAGUGUAUUUCCUGGAAAGACUGACGCUGAAGCUAGUGGUUAAGGGAUUUAAACAGACCCUCAGGUAGACUGCAGGUGAAGUUCCAGGAUUUAAGCCCUUUCUUCCCUGGUUUUGAGUCAGUUUUAUUGCUUCAUAG